rnacentral:rRNA from 1 species
GACGAACGCUGGCGGCGUGCUUAACACAUGCAAGUCGAGCGGUAAGGCCCUUUGGGGUACACGAGCGGCGAACGGGUGAGUAACACGUGAGUAAUCUGCCUUUGGCUUGGGAAUAACUUCGGGAAAUCGGGGCUAAUGCCUGAUGUUUACUGUCUGCUGCAUGGUGGGUGGUGGAAAGAUUUUUUGGUCGAGGAGUGAGCUCGCGGUCUAUCA